UAAGCAAUGAUGAAGAGUAACAUGUAAGAAGAGCCAAUUUUAUGCUUUGGUUCUUCGAUGAAAUGUAUUUGUUACGCUUGGCUUCUGAGCUUU